AUUGAACGCUGGCGGAAUGCUUUACACAUGCAAGUCGAGCGGCAGCGCGGGGGCAACCCUGGCGGCGAGCGGCGAACGGGUGAGUAACAUAUCGGAACGUACCCAGUCGUGGGGGAUAACUAUCCGAAAGGAUAGCUAAUACCGCAUACGUCCUGAGGGAGAAAGACGGGGGAGUCGCAAGACCUCGCGCGAUUGGAGCGGCCGAUAUCGGAUUAGCUAGUUGGUGGGGUAAAGGCUCACCAAGGCGACGAUCCGUAGCGGGUCGUGAGAGGACGACCCGCCACACUGGAACUGAGACACGGUCCAGACUCCUACGGGA
rnacentral:rRNA from 1 species